GUGAGGAAUAUUGGUCAAUGGGCGCAAGCCUGAACCAGCCAUGCCGCGUGCAGGAAGACGGUCCUAUGGAUUGUAAACUGCUUUUAUUUGGGAAUAAACUCCGGUACGUGUACCGGCCUGAAGGUACCAAAUGAAUAAGCACCGGCUAACUCCGUGCCAGCAGCCGCGGUAAUACGGAGGGUGCAAGCGUUAUCCGGAAUCAUUGGGUUUAAAGGGUCCGCAGGCGGUCUUAUAAGUCAGUGGUGAAAGCCUACAGCUCAACUGUAGAACUGCCAUUGAUACUGUAGGACUUGAAUUCGAUCGAAGUGGGCGGAAUGUGACAUGUAGCGGUGAAAUGCUUAGAUAUGUCACAGAACACCGAUAGCGAAGGCAGCUCACUAGGUCUGGAUUGACGCUCAGGGACGAAAGCGUGGGGAUCAAACAGGAUCAGAAACCCUAGUAGUCC
rnacentral:rRNA from 1 species